CGGCUGGCCACACAAGACACAACAACGGAGCGCGGGAUGGGCCAGUCAGAGCCCAAAACUCUCACUCACUCUGGGCCGGGCCAACCAGCGGCUCGGCUACAAAAUCACCGUCUGUCGUCUUUCAAUUGAUUCUUUGACUAUGUCUAAAAAACAAUUGAUUCUUUGACUUGUUGGUUCGAUUUCCUCUUCUCAAAGGAACCCCCAACACCGUCGUCGGAGCAGCGGCGGCAGCAAGAGGAGGAGCGAGAUGGCGCAGCCCAGCAAGGAGCCGUGCAAGAAGGAGGCGUGCGACAUCCAGGCCUGCCUCUCCAAGAACCUCUUCGAUUCCAAGAAGUGUUUGAAAGUUAUUCAGUCACUACAAUCUUGUUGUGAGCAAUGCGAGUACAAAUCAACACAUUGUGGUUCUUUGUCGGGCUUGCUCAAAAACAUUUCAAAGUGAUGUAAUAAGACUAUCACUCAAUAAAGGUAAUUUUAGGUUUGCUUGGGAGUUAAUCAGGAUAUCAGUUUCUCUAAUCCAUCAUGUAUGACUGGGAAAAAUAAUAAUGCGCCAUCCUCAACCUGCAGAAAGGUGAUGUGGUUGCUAGUUGUUCGGUGCUGAGUUUGUCAACAUAUUUUUUUAAGAGGGAUACUGAUAUUGCCGUAUACCUGUAUCAUCCUUUGUAUUUCUUAUGCUCAUGUGCAGAUGUAAUUCAAGAAAAUAAGUGAACCCUGGCCUUGUUGUACACCAAUCUGCAUUUAUGAUAUGGGAAGUGUUUUUGAA